UACGUGUGGACCAAGCGUUGUUCGGAAUUACUGGGCUUAAAGGGUUCGUAGGCGGUUUUGUAAGUCAGGGGUGAAAGUCGGUGGCCCAACCAUCGAAUUGCCUUUGAUACUGCAAGACUUGAGUGUGCUAGGGGGAAGCGGAACGUUUGGUGUAGCGGUGAAAUGCGUAGAUAUCAAACGGAAGGCCGGAGGCGAAGGCGGCUUCCUGGGGCACAACUGACGCUGAGGAACGAAAGCGUGGGGAGCAAACAGG
rnacentral:rRNA from 1 species